GAUGAACGCUGGCGGCGUGCCUAAUACAUGCAAGUCGAGCGAACAGACUAUGACCUUGCUCCUCUGACGUUAGCGUCGGACGGUUGAGUUACACUUAGUUAACCUCCCUCUAAGACUUGGCUCACUUCUGGCAACCGGCGCUAAUACCGGCUAAUAUUUUGAACCGCAUGGUUCAAUAGUUAAAGACGGUUUUUCUGUUACUUAUUUAUGGAUCCGCUCCGCAUUAUCUAGUUGGUAAGGUAACGUCUUACCAAUGCAACGAAGGGUAGCCGACCGGAGCGGGGGAUUGGGCCAACGGGAAAGGAGACAAGGUCCAGACACCUGAGGGAGGAAGCAGUAGGGAAUCUUACGCAAUGGGGGAAAGCCUGACGGAGCAAAACCGCGGAAAUGAUGAAGGUCCUAGGAUCGUAAAACGCAGUUAUUAGGGAAGAACAAAUGUGUAAGUAACUAUGCACGUCUUGACGGUACCUAAUCAGAAAGCCACGGCUAACUACGUG
rnacentral:rRNA from 1 species